UACACACCGCCCGUCACACCAUGGGAGUCCGUUGCUCCAGAAAUUGGUGCGCCAACCGCAAGGGGGCAGCCACUUAAGGAGUGACUGGUAACUGGGGUG
rnacentral:rRNA from 1 species